CUCUCUCUCUCUCUUUGUGUUGUAUAUUUUAUAUGAGUAGAAGUCUGUCAAGAACAAGCACGGUCGUGCAUAUGUUGGCAUCUUGUUGUGGCAAUUUACAGAAAAUAAAACAGCUAGGCUGGCAGAGAGCUUCUUGUGUUCGUGAUAUCUGUAACGAGGCUGAUCGUGCAUCUCUCUAAUUGGGAGAAACCUUCGUGUUGAUGAGAAUGUAUGUAACUUAGAACAAAGUCUCUCUGUGUUUUUCCAUAUAUAACUUUUUUGCCUUGGAAAUUAGAAUGCGUGGGAUUCAAAUUUGUGUUUGAGAUUACAUGUCUCUCUGGAGGUAGGGUUAAGCCUCUACCCAUCAAUUUUUCUUGCUUUUUAUUUUUUAUUUUUUUAGAUAUAAGAUGUAUAUCACAUCAUGAAAACUGAAUAUAUAUUACAAUGAAUUGAUGAAGCUAUGCACAAUUCAAUAACCAAGUUGGUAUAAAUUAGAUUAAAUAACUAAACAAAUAAAAUACAACCAACAUAAAUGAUAUUUGAAUUAGAGAUAACAAUCGGGUACGACGGAUACGGAUAGUGGCUAUCCAUAUUUAUACCCGCGAGUUAAAUGGAUAGUGAAUUUUAACCACGAAGCUAUUCGUAGAUAUUAAAUGCCACCNAACGAGGCUGAUUGAGUCGUGCAUCUCUCUAAUUGGGAGAAACCUUCGUGUUGAUGAGAAUGUAUGUAACUUAGAACAAAGUCUCUCUGUGUUUUUCCAUUUAUAACUUUUUUGUCUUGGAAAUUAGAAUGCGUGGGAUUCAAAUUUGUGUUUGAGAUUAUAUGUCUCUCUCGAG
rnacentral:lncRNA from 1 species